UCCAGUUUGUUUUGUAUGCGUUAGACAAAUGACCACUGCAUCAGCUAAUUCAUAUCCAAUUUAGAUAUAGGCUCGUUGCGGUAGGUAUAUAAACCUUUAAUUCCAAUACGUACGCUAUACCACGUUCAACUUACCAAAUCACGAUGUUCUUCAAAUUGCUUAUUUCUCUUGUGCUCGCCGCUUUUGUUGCCGCCGCACCGGUUGCAGAUCCCGGCCUUAUCCUCAUCGAUAAUAGUCCCGUUGUGAUGGAAAGUGUCCCAGUCUUGUUGGAUACGAUGAUGGUACCUAGCAUUGUGUACGUCUAAUUUUCCUCUGCAAUUUCUAGUAGUAGAUUUAUAAGUAAGUCAAGCAAGGCAUCAUUACCAAUGUAACAAAUUUUGAGGGGAAAUUUACAUUAAAUAUAAGUGUGGAUUGCAUUUAUGUAGGGUGUAGUAUACUAAAAAUGACAAUUAGGGAGUUUAAAAAUAGUAACGGGAAAAGAUUCUACAAGAUGACAACGUUUUUUUUAAUUUCAUAGUUAAUGAUCAAUAUAAUCGAUAACUGUAUAAAAAAUAAACCACUUGCUUACAUUGUAAAAAUCAAAUAUACAUUGAAACGGGA